rnacentral:misc_RNA from 1 species
GAAAUGCGAUAAGUAAUGUGAAUUGCAGAAUUCAGUGAAUCAUCGAAUCUUUGAACGCACAUUGCGCCCGCCAGCAUUCUGGCGGGCAUGCCUGUUCGAGCGUCAUUUCAACCCUCGAGCCCCCCCGGGGGCCUCGGUGUUGGGGGACGGCACACCAGCCGCCCCCGAAAUGCAGUGGCGACCCCGCCGCAGCCUCCCCUGCGUAGUAGCACACACCUCGCACCGGAGCGCGGAGGCGGUCACGCCGUAAAACGCCCAAUUUUCUUAGAGUUGACCUCGGAUCAGGUAGGAAUACCCGCUGAACUUAAGC